rnacentral:rRNA from 1 species
GACGAACGCUGGCGGCGUGCCUAAUACAUGCAAGUAGAACGCACGGUUUAUACCGUAGCUUGCUACACCAUAGACUGUGAGUUGCGAACGGGUGAGUAACGCGUAGGUAACCUGCCUGGUAGCGGGGGAUAACUAUUGGAAACGAUAGCUAAUACCGCAUAAUAUUAAUUAUUGCAUGAUAAUUAAUUGAAAGGUGCAAUUGCACCACUACCAGAUGGACCUGCGUUGUAUUAGCUAGUAGGUGAGGUAACGGCUCACCUAGGCGACGAUACAUAGCCGACCUGAGAGGGUGAUCGGCCACACUGGGACUGAGACACGGCCCAGACUCCUACGGGAGGCAGCAGUAGGGAAUCUUCGGCAAUGGACGAAAGUCUGACCGAGCAACGCCGCGUGAGUGCAGAAGGUUUUCGGAUCGUAAAGCUCUGUUGUAAGAGAAGAACGGGUGUGAGAGUGGAAAGUUCACACUGUGACGGUAUCUUACCAGAAAGGGACGGCUAACUACGUG